rnacentral:rRNA from 1 species
UUGGUGAGGUAAUGCCCCACCAAGGCUAUAACAGUNACGGNCUCUAAGAGGAGGGGCCCGGAGAUGGGUACUGAGACACGGACCCAGGCCCUAUGGGCGCAGCAGGCGAGAAACCUUUGCAAUGUGCGAAAGCACGACAAGGUUAAUCCGAGUGUCUCCUGCUAAAGGAGUCUUUUGUCAGUUGUAGAAUCACUGGUGAAUAAGGGGUGGGCAAGUUCUGGUGUCAGCCGCCGCGGUAAAACCAGCACCUCGAGUGGUCAGGAGGUUUAUUGGGCCUAAAGCAUCCGUAGCCGGUUGCAUAAGUUUUCGGUUAAAUCUAUGCGCUUAACGUAUAGGCCGCCGAAAAUACUGUGCAGCUAGGGAGUGGGAGAGGUACACGGUACUCGAUAGGAAGGGGUAAAAUCCUUUGAUCUAUUGAAGACCACCUGUGGCGAAGGCGGUGUACCAGAACACGUUCGACGGUGAGGGAUGAAAGCUGGGGGAGCAAACCGGAUUAGAUACCCGGGUAGUCCCAGCUGUAAACGAUGCAGACUCGGUGAUGCGUUGGCUUGUGGCCAAUGCAGUGCCGCAGGGAAGCCGUUAAGUCUGCCGCCUGGGAAGUACGUACGCAAGUAUGAAACUUAAAGGAAUUGGCGGGGGAGCACCACAAGGGGUGAAGCCUGCGGUUCAAUUGGAUCA